rnacentral:rRNA from 1 species
UGAGGAAUAUUGGUCAAUGGGCGCAAGCCUGAACCAGCCAUCCCGCGUGAAGGAUGAAGGCCCUAUGGGUCGUAAACUUCUUUUAUACACCAAGAAAAAGCAGGACGUGUCCUGCCCCGACGGUAGUGUAUGAAUAAGCAUCGGCUAACUCCGUGCCAGCAGCCGCGGUAAUACGGAGGAUGCAAGCGUUAUCCGGAUUCAUUGGGUUUAAAGGGUGCGUAGGCGGCUUUUUAAGUCAGUGGUGAAAUCUUGCCGCUUAACGGUAAAAUUGCCAUUGAUACUGAGAAGCUUGAGUAUAUUUGAGGUAAGCGGAAUGUGUAGUGUAGCGGUGAAAUGCUUAGAUAUUACACAGAACACCAAUUGCGAAGGCAGCUUACUAAACUGUAACUGACGCUGAUGC